rnacentral:rRNA from 1 species
AUGAACGCUAGCGGCAGGCCUAAUACAUGCAAGUCGAACGGUAUACUGAUAUUUAUAUUAGUAGAGAGUGGCGCACGGGUGAGUAACGCGUACACAACCUACCCUUAAUUGGGGGAUAGCCUUUGGAAACGGAGAUUAAUACCCCAUGUAUUUCAUUCAUUGCAUGAUGGAUGGAAAAAAGUUGAAGGCGAUUAAGGAUGGGUGUGCGUUCUAUUAGCUAGAUGGUGAGGUAACGGCUCACCAUGGCGAUGAUAGAUAGGGGGCGUGAGAGCGUGGUCCCCACACGGGUACUGAGACACGGACCCGACUCCUACGGGAGGCAGCAGUAAGGAAUAUUGGACAAUGGGCGCAAGCCUGACCCAGCCAUGCCGCGUGUGCGAAGAAGGCCUUCGGGUUGUAAAGCACUUUCAGCAGCGAAGAAAUGUCGGGGGCUAAUAUCCCUCUGGCUUUGACGUUAACUGCAGAAGAAGUACCGGCUAACUCCGUG